rnacentral:tRNA from 1 species
GUCUUCGUAGUGUAACGGUUAGCACACUCGGCGCGUAUUCGAGAGAUCCAGGGUUCGAAUCCCGGCGAGGACA